UGCUGGGAGGGCUCUGUGCGGCU
rnacentral:miRNA from 1 species